UACAGAGGGUGCGAGCGUUAAUCGGACGUACUUGGCGUAAAGCGCACGUAGGUGGCGACGUAAGUCGGGUGUGAAAGCCCCGGGCUCAACCUGGGAAUUGCAUUCGAGACUGCAUUGCUGGAGUACGGAAGAGGAGGGCGGAAUUCCCGGUGUAGCGGUGAAAUGCGUAGAUAUCGGGAGGAACAUCAGUGGCGAAGGCGGCCCUCUGGUCCAGUACUGACACUCAAGUGCGAAAGCGUGGGGAGCAAACAGG
rnacentral:rRNA from 1 species